rnacentral:rRNA from 1 species
ACACGACUACAUUAGAUACCCGGGUAGUCCAGGGUGUAAACGCUGCGGGCUUGGUGUUGGGGGUCCUUUGAGGGCGCCCAGUGCCGGAGAGAAGUUGUUAAGCCUGCUGCUUGGGGAGUACGUCCGCAAGGAUGAAACUUAAAGGAAUUGGCGGGGGAGCACCGCAACGGGAGGAGCGUGCGGUUCAAUUGGAUUCAACGCCGGACAACUCACCAGGAGCGACGGUUACAUGAAGGCCAGGCUGAUGACCUUGCCUGAUUUCCG